rfam:Caldisphaera lagunensis DSM 15908, complete genome.
GGGCCCGUAGCUCAGCCUGGUGGAGCGCUCGGCUGAUAACCGAGAAGUCGGGGGUUCGAAUCCCCCCGGGCCCA